rnacentral:pre_miRNA from 1 species
CUUGUACUCCCUCCGUCCGAAAAUACUUGUCAUUGAAAUGGAUGUAUCUAGAUGUAUUUUAGUUCUAGACACAUCCAUUUUGAUGACAAGUAAUUCCGGAC